rnacentral:rRNA from 1 species
AACGAACGCUGGCGGCAUGCCUAACACAUGCAAGUCGAACGAGACCUUCGGGACUAUUGGCGCACGGUGUCGUAACGUGUGGGAACCUGCCCAUAUGUUCGGAAUAACUCCCCGACAGGGGUGCUAAUACCGGAUAAUGUCUUCUGACCAAAGAUUUAUCGCCUUUGGAUGGGCCCGCGUGGGAUUAGCUCGUUGGUAGGGUAAAAGCCUACUAAGGCGACGAUCCAUAGCUGGUAUGAGAGGCGGAUCAGCGACACUGGGAGUGAGACACGGCCCAGAAUCCUACGGGAGGCAGCAGUGGGGAACAUAGGAAAAUGGGCGAAAGCAUGAAGCAGCAAUGACCGGAGAGUGAUGAAGGCAUUAGGGUUGUAAAGCGCUUGUAACCGGGAUGAUAAUGACAGUACCGGGAGAAUAAGCCCCGGCUAACUCCGUG